rnacentral:rRNA from 1 species
AGAGUUUGAUCCUGGCUCAGAAUCAACGCUGGCGGCGCGCUUAACACAUGCAAGUCGCACGAGAAAGGGGAGCAAUCCCUGAGUAAAGUGGCGUACGGGUGAGUAACACGUGGAUCAUCUACCUUUUAGUGGGGAAUACCCCCGGGAAACUGGGGACAAUACCGCAUAAGCCUGUGAAGGGAAAGCAGCAAUGCGCUGAAAGAGGAGUCCGCGGCUGAUUAGCUAGUUGGUGAGGUAACGGCCCACCAAGGCGAAGAUCGGUAGCCGGCCUGAGAGGGCACACGGCCACACUGGCACUGAAAUACGGGCCAGACUCCUACGGGAGGCAGCAGUGGGGAAUCUUGCACAAUGGAGGAAACUCUGAUGCAGCGACGCCGCGUGAGCGAUGAAGCCCUUCGGGGUGUAAAGCUCUUUCGACGGGAACGAUAAUGACGGUACCCGAAGAAGAAGCUGCGGCUAACUACGUGCCAGCAGCCGCGGUAAUACGUAGGCAGCAAGCGUUGUUCGGAAUUACUGGGCGUAAAGAGUGUGUAGGCGGUGCUCUAAGUCUGUUGUGAAAUCUCCCGGCUUAACUGGGAGGGUGCGGCGGAAACUGGAGUGCCUGAGGGUGGGAGAGGUAACGGAAUUCCUGGUGUAGCGGUAAAUGCGUAGAUAUCAGGAGGAACACCUGUGGUGUAGACAGCUUACUGGACCACUUCUGACGCUGAGACACGAAAGCGUGGGUAGCAAACAGGAUUAGAUACCCUAGUAGUCC